rnacentral:lncRNA from 1 species
CUCCUAGGCCUAUAAAAGCAGCACCAGUUCUGGGCUCAAGGUCUUUUCGCCUCUACAAUCAAGCUCUCACAAUAAACAUGUGCAGAAGGAUCCUGUUGCAGCAUCGUUCUUCCUGGCCAGUCGAGCGCGCGCAAGAAGUGGUGCCGAAAACCCGGGACAAGAAACAUCUUCAGGCACGAGCGAAGACCCCCUGCUACAGGGAGGAUUCAGAACUGCAUCACGGGGAAUGAGCGGUUAAUAAAGGUUCCCGUAAAACAGACUGCUGAGAAGGAUCCGGAGUGGAUUCAGAACUCUUCAGCUGGGGAACGGUGAUAAUGAAGUGUUCCUGCAAAACAGACUGCUGAGAAGGAUUGGAUUCAGAACUCUUCAGCUGAGGAACGGUGGUACCGGUAAGU